UACGUAGGGUGCGAGCGUUUGUCCGGAAUUAUUGGGCGUAAAGAGCUCGUAGGCGGUUUGUUGCGUCGGCUGUGAAAUCCCGAGGCUCAACCUCGGGUCUGCAGUCGAUACGAGCAAACUAGAGUGUUGCAGGGGAGACUGGAAUUCCUGGUGUAGCGGUGGAAUGCGCAGAUAUCAGGAGGAACACCUAUAGCGAAGGCAGCUUGCUGGGACGUUACUGACGCUAAGGCGCGAAAGCGUGGGGAGCGAACAGG
rnacentral:rRNA from 1 species